rnacentral:lncRNA from 9 species
CAGUAUUUCCACAGGGAACUGCCGACCUCUCCAUGCUCUCUUUGCUCUUCUGGUCCUAAGGACACUUUAGCAAAGUUAAUAUCGGAGACUCCCAACUUUUACAGCUCAUCCAUUAAGUUCCAAAACAGAAAAGAGAGAUACUUAACUGGGGGAAAGCCAGAUGUUGAACUCUCCACCGAUUCCAAAAACAUCAAGCAACUUGAAAGAUGGAUAGCUCUUCAGCUCUAGUUUCUGACUUUCCAUUUGGCAUUGGUCCUUGAACACGACAACAUAAUGAUGUUCUCAAUUCGGUGAUUUUCAAAUAUUUUAAUCCUAAUUAAAGCAUAAAGAAAAAGUUGCGUUAGCUGAGCUCGAAUGCCCGCCAAGUGUGAGAAAACUGUAUCUCAGCUGUAUGUACUGUUACACAGUGUUCUUGGAACUUCUCAUAUGUCAUUCUGUCUGUUCAUGUGCAAUCUGAUAACUAACUACAAUUAGCAAAUGAAAUAUUUAUAUAUGCUACCACGUAGUCAGUCCAUAUGUGCAAAAUAUUACAAGAUCCUCAAGUAGCAUUUAGCAUCACCCACUGUUAUGUUAGUUUCCUGAAAUAGGAAACUAUGCUGUCUUAUGCAGUCUUAUGAAGUAUGCCCCCCGAGGAUGCAAUUUCCUUGCUUUGCGUGUUUGUGGUAGAGCUCAAGUCAUCCUCCAGUGAGGUGACUGGUUUGUCCUCUCACAAAAUUCAGCACCACCAGCCCAGAGUUCUCUUUCCUUUUUCUCCGUGUUACUCUUGUGCUUCACCUACAAGCUACACCAUGUCCCAACGAGUAGUGUUCAUCCACGUGGGAUGAACACUAGCCAGUUACUACUUUAUUUAUAAAAAUUCCAGUCAUUGUCCGAGCACAACUGACUGACAGCACACACUGAGAACUUCGUAAAGGACUUUUAAACCUUCCACAGACACACAGUUUUUAACCAGCAUGUGAACAAUAUGAGAAGCUUGUUGACUUCUGAAAAAAUUGCCUGGAACUGAAAAUCCAUAAGUGGAAGGAAAGCAAGCCUCUGAUUCACUUGACUUAAAUCAAGGGACAUCCAACAGUUGAAGGAACGUGGGGCAGCUGCCCUCAAUGAAAUAUCAGUAUGUGCACCCUCACCCUUCCUGAGGCUGAUCAUCUUACAACGAGUAAAGGGGGAAAGGAAGCCAGUCUCCACCUGCAAGCCGAGGUUUGCAUGUAACCUUAUUUCACAGAAAAUUUAAUUUCAAGUCAAUUAAAUCUCAAUAUGAGAGAGAAAAAAGAGGGGGCAGAGAAGAGAGAACUUGGGGGUUUGGGAUAGAAAAGCUAUAAAAUUGGAUUGUGAUGAUCAUUGUACAACUAAAAAAAAAAAAGCAUGACAAUGUGAGAAAAAAGAAUAUAUACAAGUGUGUGUAACUGGGUCACCUUGCUGUACAGUAGAAAAUUGACAGAACACAGUAAACCAGCUAUAAUGGAAAAAAAUAAAAAUCAUUAUAUAAAGAAAAAAAAAGAGAGAGGACGUGAAGAAGAAUGUGAGGCUGGGUUCUGGUACUUGCGCUAUGGAACUAAUGAUGCAGAUGAUCCAAAUUGCUCAAGUAUGAUGAUAGAGAAGGGUCCUGUUUAUUAGACCAGUGUAGGCAAGAAAGUCUCUAACCAAAAACAGCUAACGUCUAGUUCCAGGGGGAAAUGGAUGCUAUUAAUCUAUGACCUCUCUCUCUUCUUUUAUUUUUAUUAGAAUAUAAACCUUGUUAAUAAUGCAAAGUCUUUUGAAAUGUACAAUUCCAUAGCUCUUAAGAACAACCUUGAAAAGAAGGUACUUGAUGCUGCACUAAAGGCGUGUGUCACUGGGGUUUGAAGCUGGGAAGGAAUGCAUUCUCUCCUGUCUUUUUAUAUUGUGAUAGAUUUGUGGCAGGGUGGUUUAAGAGGCUCCUGCUGUCUCAAACUGUUUCCUUCAAGCACUGACCAUGAACUGGCUCAGAGAUGAUUUGGACACUUAACAUUUUCAAGGACAAAAAUUUCUCCCAAUGUGGUAGAGAGAGAAAGGAAGGAAGGAUAGAUGAUCACUCUGCUUUAUUCCUAGCAAGCCCAACUUAGACAGGAGAAAGGAUUUUUAAAAAAAUGGAGAUUCCAACAUGGAGUUUGCAGUGCCUAAUUGUAUGCUGUAAAAAUUAAUGGCAUAAAUGCUUACCAAGGAAUAAAAAUAUGCAGUGCUAU